rnacentral:rRNA from 1 species
UACGUAGGGGGCUAGCGUUGUCCGGAAUCAUUGGGCGUAAAGCGCGUGUAGGCGGUCCGGUAAGUCCGCUGUGAAAGCCCAGGGCUCAACCCUGGAAUGCCGAUGGAUACUGUCGAGCUAGAGUCCGGAAGAGGCGAGUGGAAUUCCUGGUGUAGCGGUGAAAUGCGCAGAUAUCAGGAGGAACACCAAUGGCGAAGGCAGCUCGCUGGGACGGUACUGACGCUGAGACGCGAAAGCGUGGGGAGCAAACAGG